rnacentral:lncRNA from 1 species
GGGGGGCAAUUAGUGGGGGGGCAUUAAUGGGGGGGCAUGAACAGGGGGGGGGGGCACCAUAAUUUGCAGAGGAGGGGGCAAUAAGUGGGGGGCACCAAAUGGUCGAGAAAUGGGGUUUUUUAAUGGGAUUUUAUCUGGUUGUUUUUUGUAUAGGAACGUGAGAAGUUCGGGGGAACCUGAAAUGGUUCCACCACAUGGAACAGGUGAAGGCUCCCCGUUCCCCCCCCCCGGUGCUUCGGGAGCUGCCGCUGCUCAGACGGAACAUGGAGGAGCUGCACCAGCUGCUGGGGGGGGCACAGCAACAGGCGUUAAGGCUGGAGGCCGAAUUGGAGGCGGGGCUACAGCGCCGGGGGGCGGGGCUUAACCGAGCGCAUCGGCUGCUCCUAUUGGCUGAGGCAGCUGACAGUCAAAGGAAGCAGCUGAAGGCGGCACUUCCUGUCCCGCCCCCACUUCCAGGGCCGCUGGAGGCGGAGCCAGAGCUGGAGGCGGCCGUCGCCAUGGGAACAGAACCGGAAGUGCUGGCAGCGACUCGUGCCCUCUGCCGGAUGCGGGAGGAAGCCAUGAUGGAAAUGACGAAGCCACGCCCACUUCCGGAGAAGCAGCGUCUGCUGGCGGCAUCCAACCAGCAAUGGCUGCAGGCGGCUCAGGAGCUCCUUGGCCGCCAUUCCCCGCGCUCUGUGCUGUGGGCUCUGAGUCACAUGACCAAGGAAUCCAUCCGGGAGCUGCAGGCCCCGCCCAGGAGUGAGGACAUUGAACCCAAUGGGGAGCAGGGAGCUCCGCCCACCAUAGAGACCCUCAAUUUAGGAUUGUUGGAACACAGUGGGGGGGCUUUGGGCCCUGGCCCCCCCCAUAGCGGCUCGGCUGCCCCACAUGAGACAACGACUGCGGGACAUACAGGAACAGAUGGGGGAGGAGACAAGGUCUGACCCAUAAGUGACACCCCAGCCCCAUAAGUGACCCCAUAGACCCAUAACUGCCCCCCCAGCCCCAUAACUAGCCCCCAGCCCCAUAAGUGCCCCCCCCCAGCCCCAUAAGUGACCCCAAAGACCCACAAGUGACACCCCAUACCCAUAAAGUGCCUUUCCAGCCCCAUAAGUGACCCCACCAGCCCCAUAUGUGUCCUUCCAGCCCCAUAAGUGACCCCUUCAGCCCCAUAAGUUACCCCCCAGCCCCAUAGGUGCCCUUCCAGCCCCAUAAGUGCCCCCCCCCAGCCCCAUAAGUGCCCUUCCAGCCCCAUAAGUGACCCACCAGCCCCAUAAGUGACACCUUCAGACCCAUAAGUGACACCUUCAGCCCCAUAAGUGCCCUUCAAGCCCCAUAAGUGCCUUUCCAGCCCCAUAAGUGACACCUUCAGCCCCAUAAGUGACACCUUCAGCUCCAUAAGUGACCUACAAGCCCCAUAAGUGCCUUCCCCAGCCCCAUAAGUGACCUCCCCAGCCCCAUAAGUGCCCUUCCAGCCCCAGAAGUGCCCUUCCAGCCCCAUAAGUGACCCCCCCAGCCCCAUAAGUGCCUUUCCAGCCCCAUAAGUGACCCCUUCAGCCCCAUAAGUGCCCCCCCAGGCCCCAUAAGUGACCUUCUAGCCCCAUAAGUGCCCCCUUCAGCCCCAUAAGUGACCCCCCCUGCCCCAUAAGUGCCCUUCCAGCCCCAUAAGUGCCC